AACGGAAGAAUCCUUAAACAAGUUAAAAAAAAUAAAACCCUAAAAACAUAUUAUUGUUAACAUUUCUUCUCUACAACCGUUUCCUUCUCCCUCUACUCUCCUUCUUCCCCUUUCUCUUCUUCAACAUAAACGAUUGCCAUGGUCUGAACCAAAGCCACCAGACUGAACACAACAAGCUUGAACCGGUGCUAAACUCUAACUGAAAUACACUACAUGACGAUCCCUAAGAACCGAGCCUCCACUUCUCCCUCUAUUUCUCUCGAUCAAUUCCUCUCAAAGGCUACCCGAAACCAAUUGUUCGGCCUGACCACUUAGCCUCUCGGCCUUGAAGACCAUCACUGCAGUCAUGGGAGCCUACAACAGUAAGGAACCCACUGCUCGCUAACACUCGACCGGUUAAGCUUCAAUGGAUGGCAUGAUUGGCGCGAGUAUGGAUCUUCUCGGUGAGUGAUAGCAACACGUGGGAGGCAUUGGCUUGGCGUUGACUUAAACCAGAUCAAGUUGCUGGGUCUAAUCCGGGUCUUGGGCUUGAACCGGGUCUUGGGCUUGUUGUAAUU